UCCGGUUUAUCACCGGCAGUCUCCUUAGAGUUCCCGCCAUGACGCGUUGGCAACUAAGGACGAGGGUUGCGCUCGUUACGGGACUUAACCCAACAUCUCACGACACGAGCUGACGACAGCCAUGCAGCACCUGUCUCUAGGUUCCCGAAGGCACUCCUCUAUCUCUAAAGGAUUCCUAGGAUGUCAAGAGUAGGUAAGGUUCUUCGCGUUGCAUCGAAUUAAGCCGCAUGCUCCGCCGCUUGUGCGGGGACCCGUCAAUUCCUUUGAGUUUUAGCCUUGCGGCCGUACUCCCCAGGCGGGGCACUUAUCGCGUUAGCUUCGGCACCGAGGGGGUCGAUACCCCCGACACCUAGUUCUCAUCGUUUACGGCGUGGACUAC
rnacentral:misc_RNA from 1 species